GAACGCGAAGAACCUUACCCGGGAUUGAAAUGUAGAUGACCGCUCCUGAAAGGGAGUUUUCCUUCGGGACAUCUAUGUAGGUGCUGCAUGGUUGUCGUCAGCUCGUGCCGUGAGGUGUCGGCUUAAGUGCCAUAACGAGCGCAACCCCUGUCUACGGUUGCCAUCAGGUAAUGCUGGGAACUCCGUAGAGACUGCCGUCGUAAGGCGUGAGGAAGGUGGGGAUGACGUCAAAUCAGCACGGCCCUUACAUCCGGGGCGACACACGUGUUACAAUGGUAAGGACAAAGGGCAGCUACCUGGCGACAGGAUGCGAAUCUCUAAACCUUAUCACAGUUCGGAUCGGAGUCUGCAACUCGACUCCGUGAAGCUGGAUUCGCUAGUAAUCGCGCAUCAGCCAUGGCGCGGUGAAUACGUUCCCGGGUCUUGUACACACC
rnacentral:rRNA from 1 species